AGAAUCCUACGUUGUACGUAAAAACUGAGUGUUUUGAGCCAACACUUUUGAAAAGGGAGCAAGUAGUUGUUUGUUGGAUUACAUGCCUUUGUGUACUCUUGGAAGGAAGUAAGAUAAUAAGCACUGUGCACCCACCUGUGAGAGCAGGUUCAAAGCGUAAGUCAAAUACGGCAUAGUUGGGAUUCUU
rnacentral:other from 1 species